UACGGAGGGAGCUAGCGUUGUUCGGAAUUACUGGGCGUAAAAGCGCACGUAGGCGGCUUUGUAAGUUUAGAGGUGAAAAGCCCGGGGCUCAACCCCGGAAUUGCCUUUAAGACUGCAUCGCUUGAAUCCGGGAGAGGUGAGUGGAAUUCCGAGUGUAGAGGUGAAAUUCGUAGAUAUUCGGAAGAACACCAGUGGCGAAGGCGGCUCACUGGACCGGUAUUGACGCUGAGGCGCGAAAGCGUGGGGGAGCAAACAGG
rnacentral:rRNA from 1 species